rnacentral:rRNA from 1 species
GUAGCAUAAUCAUUAGUUCUUUAAUUAGGAACUUGUAUGAAUGGUUUAACAAAAGAAAAGCUGUCUUUAUUAUAAAAUUAGAAAUUAACUUUUAAGUGAAAAGGCUUGAAUUUUUCAAGGGGACGAUAAGACCCUAUAAAGCUUUUAUAUAUUGGUUGAAUUUGAUUAAAUUGUUAAAAUAAAAAUCUUGUUUAGUUAUUUUAUUUUGUUGGGGCGACAUAGGUAUAAUUUAUAUUAACUGCUUAAUUGUAAAACAAUAAUAAGUGAUUUUUGUUAGUGAUCCUUUUUAAAGAUUAAAAGAUUAAGUUACUUUAGGGAUAACAGCGUUAUUUUUUUUGAGAGUUCAUAUCGAAAAAGAAGUUUGCGACCUCGAUGUUGAAUUAAAAUGUCUCCAUAAUGCAGCAGUUAUGGAAGAAGGUCUGUUCGACCUUUAAAUUUUU